AAGGAGAAGAAGGAAAAAAAACCUAGGUGCAGGGCUGUUCUUCACGAAAUUAUUCAAGGUUGCAGGUUGCUUAGAGUGGAUCCACUACUGGUCGUCGUGUUGAGGUGUUUUGCUAGCGUCAGGUGGGAUUUUGGUUGCGUUGUUGUGGAGUGCCUUAGCUGAUACAGAACUUUACUUGUAAGGAGUUAUAGCUAAGGAUAGUUAAAGUUUUUAAAUUGUACGGGUUGUAAUUAUUUUUGGUCGAUGAUUAGAGUUCUAUUUGAGGUUAGCUUUGGACGUUGUGAAUGGUCUAGUUGUUUUAGAUGGUGGAUGAUGAAAUUGGUUUGUUCAAGUUGUAAGUAAGUCAUCGGUGGAUGUGUUGAAGUAUAGAAUUUUUAAAGUACUAUAAUGCAGAUGUUGUUUCUUGGUUGUGCGAGGUUAAAGUUGGUUGGUCAAUACGUUGACUCAUUUUUAUGUUAAGGUGAUAAGUCUUCCGCU